AAUCCAAGACGGAAGAUUGAAGAAAUUCAGAGGCUAGGGUUGAAAGAGGGGAGAAUUAGGGUUAAAGGGGAGGAUAGGUUAAAAAAUGGAAGGGGAGAGAGUAAGGUUUUAGGAGGGAAGAAUAAGGUUUAGGGAGAAGGAUUGGGAGGAGAGCUUCAUGCUUCGGGAAGGAAAAAAAAGACAGAGAAUUGGGUUUUUUUUUCUUCGUAGGGUUUUAGGAAGAUUGAGGCAAUCGUUGGUGAAGUCAGUGUUGUAAUGGUGAAUCGAGAUUUUUAAUGAAGUGGGUGUGAUUACUCUUAAUUGUUUUGUGAAAUCGAAGUUACGUCUGUGAUUGAAGAAUUAAAAGGGUGUCUAUAGGAUUGAGUAUGCGGAAUGAAUGAAAUUUAUUGGGUUAAUCUAACGAGACAGUCAGUGGAUACAAGAUCGUGAGUAUAAAGCAA
rnacentral:lncRNA from 1 species